AUGAACUAAAUUGUAUUAAAUUAUAUUCUUUAAUUACAAGGCCAUAAUAACAUGAUACAAUAGAGAAUUUUUUUUCUACCAUCAUAUUACCUAAUUCUCAUGUAAUAACCAAAAAAAUAAAAAUAAAAGGUCUUGCAUGCUUCAAGAUCAAAUGCUUCAACAAUCUUAUGCGCCUACUCAAUUGUAAAUAAAAAUUCAUAUGCACUCAUUUAGUUCCACUCUUGGGGUGUCUUUCUUCUUGUUGUACAUUCCUCUGCACUGGUUUUUCUACACUGGAUAGCUGCUGCUUGCAGCAUGUGGGCUGCUGCUUUCUUAUUCUGCAUUGAUUUCCCUCUCGGCACUGGGUUUAGUUGGCACUGGUUUUAGUUUUGUUGUAGUUAGCUCCAGCUAUAUUUACUAUUUUGUUUCCCCUGACUGACCCACAGGGUCUAUACUUCUUUGUAUACAAACUAUGUCAAUAAUACAUCUAUCUUUACCUCAAAAUAAAAGGACAAUGGUAGUGCUACAUAGAAGCGUGAAAGUAAAUGAAACCAAUAAGCACAACAUCCUUCAAAGGGCAUGCACACCAGAAAAACAUAAUAGAUACUAAAGCUUAAACCACAAUUCAUAUACAAUACAGCAUAUAUAUUUAUACGAUUUUAGUAAAGAAGAAAAGAAAAUUAAGCCGGAGACAAGAGAAAGUCAUGAAGAUCUUGAAGGCACAUAAAAAUGAAACAAGGAAUCAAACAUAAAAAGCCCAUUUGUCAAAGUUCUCUAUUGCAUGUAUGAUUAUUCCUUAAAAAUAACAACUGCAAUUUAUGGACAAUAUUUCAGAUUAAAAUUUUGCAAUGAAUAACCUUAGUAAAAUUCAACGCCUUUUUUAAAAUCCGACGGAUUAGCCAAAAGACCGAUUGGGAAAAAAAAAAACAGAAUUUCAAGAGCUUGGUUUCAAUAGCCCCAACUAUCUUGACCCCUCUAUGAAGCAUUUCAACAAACACCUUCAGCAACAAUAACAGAGGACUCAAAGACCACAGCAACAGCAACAAUAAAGAAGCAAGGCAAUAACAAAGAUCAUAGCAAAGGAAAGAAAGAAAAAAAAAGGGUAGAACUUACCCUUUACAUACCCAAAUUUUAAGAUCUGCACUCAACUAGUCCAUGUGUUUACACUAAUUUAAGCACUCUCAAGAACACAAAUUUCACUUACUCAAUAACCCACACACAAAAUGACAUAUAUUUACACAAUAAAACAGAUUCAUACCAAAACCCCCAUUUUUCAAACCCAAACAAAAUCAUACAGCUCUAGUCAUCAAAAUAAUUAAAACUGGAACAAAAA